UACGUAGGGCGCAAGCGUUGUCCGGAAUUAUUGGGCGUAAAGAGCUCGUAGGCGGCUUGUCACGUCGGGUGUGAAAGCCCGGGGCUUAACCCCGGGUCUGCAUUCGAUACGGGCUGGCUAGAGUGUGGUAGGGGAGAUCGGAAUUCCUGGUGUAGCGGUGAAAUGCGCAGAUAUCAGGAGGAACACCGGUGGCGAAGGCGGCUAACUGGCCCAACAUUGACGCUGAGACCCGAAAGCAUGGGGAUCAAACAGG
rnacentral:rRNA from 1 species